rnacentral:rRNA from 1 species
UAAGGAAUAUUGCGCAAUGGGCGAAAGCCUGACGCAGCGACGCCGCGUGGGGGAUGAAGGUCUUCGGAUUGUAAACCCCUUUCGGGAGGGAAGAUGGAAUGGGGUAACCCAUUCGGACGGUACCUCCAGAAGCAGCCACGGCUAACUUCGUGCCAGCAGCCGCGGUAAUACGAAGGUGGCAAGCGUUAUUCGGAUUUACUGGGCGUACAGGGAGCGUAGGCGGUUCGGUAAGCCCUCUGUGAAAUCUUCAGGCUUAACCUGGAAAAGUCGGAGGGGACUGCUGGGCUAGAGGACGGGAGAGGAGCGCGGAAUUCCCGGUGUAGCGGUGAAAUGCGUAGAGAUCGGGAGGAAGGCCGGUGGCGAAGGCGGCGCUCUGGAACGUUUCUGACGCUGAGGCUCGAAAGCGUGGGGAGCAAACAGGAUU